AAGUUACUUUUCCUUCUUCUGUCUCAAACCAAAACCAACCACUAUGGCCAUUCAAGCUUUUCAUGGCUCUUCUUGUUGUUUCCGUUCCCACCUUUACUCUUCCUUUUCUUCUUCCACCACUGCGUCUCCAUCAUUGCUUGCUACAAGGAGGUUCCAAUCAUACGCUUCAACAAGAAAAUCUCUGAAGUUGAACUGCAGUUCAAGUGGCAACAAUGAUGACCAAUGCAGGAUUAUCUUCUGGAUGCUCCAGUUUCUGUUGGAGAUGGAUUCUCUUUCAGUGGAGGAAAAUAUUCAGAUGAGCCUAGUCCGAGUGAUGAAUGGUUUAAGCAAGGGAAAAUGGUUAACGCCUAUUCAAUUCCUGGCACUGGUGAAAAGGCUAAAGAUCCAAUUUUUGGACUCACCAUGGGAGCUGGUUCUCAAGCUACUGGUGAUCUUUUCAGGUAAAAUACAAUUAUAUUUAUGUGUCCAAUGAUUUUCUAUCUUCAUGUUGAAGAACACAAAAAUUAAAAGAAGAGAAAAGUGAAAUACUGAAAUUGGAAAUGGCAAAUGGGGAAACUGGCUGCUGAUAUUGGAGUUAAACUUGAAUAUGUAAUAAUAGAUGAAUAAAUAAUGCUAAGUGACUUAUUCCAUUUGUAGGGUAUAAUUGCAACUUGCAAGUAGAAAUGAGAAAUGGUACUAUUUUCAGGCUUACUAAUUCAAUAAUAUUUCGUCAAUACGAUUUCAAACAUUAGAUGGUUUUGUGUUGAAAGCGGAAGAGCUGACAAUCCUUCAGUGAUAUUAAUCCAUGGUUUCCCUUCUCAGGUGAGUUUUAUUUGUCAACAAUGUAUAGGAGGACCCUCUAGAAUCAUGUUGUUGUAUGAAAUUUUAAUCGGUGCUUUCUUAAUUUUAAAAGUCCAAUUAUAUGGAUGUGAUCAAUCUGCUUAGUUUUCUUAGCUAAUUGCCUAAUUCUAAUCAAUAAUUCCAAUCCAAGGCAAGCUUGUGUCCAUGAACAGCAACGAUCUGAUUUGAAUUCUUUUAGAAAUUUAAUCCAUGUUCAUUAUUCUAUAGGUGAGUGAAAGAAUUGUGAUAUGUCAUGAUAAUAUAAACAGAAGAAGAUUCAUUUUGAAAUGUGUUUUGUGCUAGUAAAUAGUGGUUGGAAUGGAAUAAUAGUCUGUUUAUUAACGGAGAUGUUAAUUAAGCUUUAUAAUUAGUCCUUGAUAACUAUUGUUACGAUUGUAGUUAAUAAUUGUUAAUUAGCUUUAUAACUAGUCCUUGAUUAUCUCUUAUAUGCAAGCACUUACAGUAUAAAUAUGAUAGAUUAUGCACACUUGUCCUACAAUUUCUCUCAAAGACUGUCUAUUUCAGCAUGGCAUUAUGGUUACUGUGACCUUUGUGCCGUGUAUCUUGUCUCUAUUGUCUUGAGUUUCUAUAGAAUUCGUACUUAAAGUUUGGAGUUCAGUUGUGAACUUUGUGAUUGCUGUGGCAAUGGCUAAAAAGUAUAAAGAAGCUGAAGGAAAUACAGUGGUUAUGUUGAGCUGCUUGUCAUACUUAUUGCAAUUUGCUACAAUGGGAACAAAUGGAUGAUGUGACUUGUGACUAUGGCGUUGAAAUGCAAACCAUCAUGCCUUUUCGAUCUUUUCUUUCUUCUUUGAUCUGGUUCUAAGAUGGAGUUUUGGAUAAGGUGUUAUAUGAUGCUAUGAGCGAUUGCUUUUGUUGAAGUCCCAUAUCAACUAUAGAUAUGGCCAAAUUAGAACUUUUAAAGACUAAAAUUAUGAGCUAGCUUUUAGGAUUGAGUUAGGCUUAAGCCCACAAAUUUAAGAGCUUCAUAGAGUGAUCACAGAGGUGGUGGUGCAGGGUUGAUUUAUUUUCAUCACUGGUUAUGAUCAAGGGUGUUGCAACAUCUUAGAUAACUUAAUCUUAAUUGAUUACAAGGAGAACUAAGGACUUUUUAUAACAUUAGGCUAGAAAUUGGAACCAGGAGGGAUCCCUAAAUAAGUAGGAAACUAAUGAGCAAACUAAAUUAUCCAGGGAGCUACUGAAUACAGAAUAUUUACAAUAAAGAAAGGUAUUGGGGUGAACUGAUAAAUAUAUUUUUGAAUUAAUUAAAAAAUGCUGAAUAAAAUAUAAUUCAACUUUGUGACACUACACAACAACCAUCACCAAGAGUGUCAUUCAAUCCCAAUGAGACAUUUAAAGCCAUUGACCCAAAGUAGCCAAUUGGUUUAGAGUUGAUGUUUUGAGCUUUGGCUUGGUGAUCUGUAUACUGUGUUGUCAAUGAAGUGUGUGUUAAAGACUUCAGGCACUUGUAAAGGACUUUCUUUUUGUGUGUUGAAGGGUGGUAUAAGACUAAAUGUUGAGAAGACCAGCUUAGAGAUUGAGUGGACCACUGAGGAGGAGAAAGGGUGUAGACUUCUAAUGCUGUGUCAUGUGCUAGGGAAGUCUUGAAGAGAAGCUGGAAGUAGGUCAAGGUUAGGGAGAAAAGUCAAAGACCUAUGAGAGAUAUUUACUAAUGACAUUGGCUAAGACUAAAAGUGGUAUUAUUCAGUGAAAGUGUUAAUUGCCCUAAUUCCUUGUCAGAGAUAGGAUGAUUUGUUUCUUUUAUUUUUCUGUCAGUGUGUAUAUUUGGACCAAGCUGAGAGGUUAGUAAGCAUCAUGAGUGGUAGAAUAAGAGUGUGCUUUAUUAGCACAUGUUAGAAUAUUAGAAGUUAUGACUGUAGUCAAUAGCUGCUUAUUAAUCCUGUAAUUGGUUCUUCAUUUGCUCUUGUAUUGACUGAACUCAGCAAUCAUAAGAUGGUUUGAGUGUACACAUGGCACAAAAAUGAUUUUUUAUCCCAAAUAUAUUAGAUAUAUUGAGACACCAAUUUUACUGGCAAAUUGAUGAUGCUGCCAGGCAUAUUCAUACCGCAAAGUUCUUCCAGUACUGUCCAAGGACUAUCAUGCCAUAGCAUUUGAUUGGCUAGGAUUUGGGUUUUCUGAUAAGCCUCAACCCAGAUAUGGGUUUGACUACACUCUGGAUGAAUAUGUGACAUCAUUUGGGUCACUUAUUGAUGAACUGGCUGUUGCUAAUGUCUCACUUGUUGUCCAGUUAAAUAUGCCAGCACUCACCAGGAAAAGCUUAGCAACUUAAUACUCCUUAAUCCACCUCUAACAGCCCUACAUGCCAAGCUUCCAUCAACAUUGUCCAUAUUCAGCAACUUUCUGCUAGGUGAAAUAUUUUCACAGGAUCCCUUAAGGGCCAGUGACAAAGCUCUGACAAGCUGUGGCCCCUAUAAAAUGAAAGAAGAAGAUGCAAUGGUCUACAGAAGACCCUAUCUCACAUCUGGUUCCUCAGGCUUUGCACUUAAUGCAAUUAGCAGGAACAUGAAGAAAGACCUCAAGCGGUAUGUGGAGGAUAUGCAAACAAUACUUAAGGACCAAAAUUGGAAAGUUCGAACUUCAAUAUGUUGGGGCCAAAGAGACCGUUGGUUGAGCUAUGAUGGAGUGGAAGAUUUUUGCAAGGAUUCUAACCAUACACUCAUUGAAGUUCCAAUGGCAGGUCAUCAUGUGCAGGAAGAUGGGGGUGAAGAAGUUGGACAACUUAUUUAUGGGAUAUUGAGCAAAAGGAAGUAGAUAAUGAGGAUAUUUUCCAUUGCUUGUUAAUAUGCUCAAAACUUUGGUUAUAAUGGUUCCUAAUCUUUUCUUGGUCUCUAUCCUGAUAAAUCUACAUUUAUUGCCAGUCUUGCUU